CCUACGGGAGGCUGCAGUGGGGAAUAUUGGGCAAUGGGCGCAAGCCUGACCCAGCAAUGCCGCGUGAAGGAAGAAGGCUUUCGGGUUGUAAACUUCUUUGACAGGGGAAGAGCAGAAGACGGUACCCUGAAAACAAGCCACGUCUAACUACGUGCCAGCAGCCGCGGUAAUACGUAGGUGGCAAGCGUUGUCAGGAUUUACUGGGUGUAAAGGGCGUGUAGCCGGGAAGGCAAGUCAGAUGUGAAAUCCGGGGGCCCAACCUCCGAAUUGCUUUUGAAACUGUUGUUCUUGAGUGCUGGAGAGGCAGACGGAAUUCCUUGUGUAGCGGUGAAAUGCGUAGAUAUAAGGAGGAACACCAGUGGCGAAGGCGGUCUGCUGGACAGCAACUGACGGUGAGGCGCGAAAGCGUGGGGAGCAAACAGGAUUAGAUACCCUGGUAGUC
rnacentral:rRNA from 1 species